GCUUAACACAUGCAAGUCGAGCGGUAAGGCCCUUCGGGGUACACGAGCGGCGAACGGGUGAGUAACRCGUGGGUGAUCUGCCCUGUACUUCGGGAUAAGCCUGGGAAACUGGGUCUAAUACCGGAUAUGACCUUACAUCGCAUGGUGUUUGGUGGAAAGAUUUAUCGGUACAGGAUGGGCCCGCGGCCUAUCAGCUUGUUGGUGGGGUAAUGGCCUACCAAGGCGACGACGGGUAGCCGGCCUGAGAGGGCGACCGGCCACACUGGGACUGAGACACGGCCCAGACUCCUACGGGAGGCAGCAGUGGGGAAUAUUGCACAAUGGGCGAAAGCCUGAUGCAGCGACGCCGCGUGAGGGAUGACGGCCUUCGGGUUGUAAACCUCUUUCGACAGGGACGAAGCGCAAGUGACGGUACCUGUAGAAGAAGCACCGGCCAACUACGUGCCAGCAGCCGCGGUAAUACGUAGGGUGCGAGCGUUGUCCGGAAUUACUGGGCGUAAAGAGCUUGUAGGCGGUUUGUCGCGUCGUCCGUGAAAACUUGGGGCUCAACCCCAAGCUUGCGGGCGAUACGGGCAGACUUGAGUACUGCAGGGGAGACUGGAAUUC
rnacentral:rRNA from 1 species